UAAUUACGGUGGUAUCCAACUUGCAUUUGGCGCGGGGUUAUUUGUUCCGGCCUAACUUUUCACGUUUUAACCAUUUCUUGAAAUUCAUAAAAUUCAAUUUCACGUUUUUACUUAACUUUAUUUACAAAGUUUGGUUUAUUUACUGACAAUUCGACGGAUCCGGGUAAUUGAAUAUUCCACCCAACAUCAGAAAAUCGCCGUUACUGCUCUCGUCAUUAAUCGAUCUAUCUCCUUCUCAUUUAAGCUGAUUUGAGCUUUCCGAUUUCCGCUGGAACGAAAAGCGGCUCGCCGGAAAUGAACUGCAACAGAGCUCGCUUCUCUAAGAUCCAACGCCACCCAGAGCUCGCCGGAAACGAACUGCAACAGCCCCAUUUCCCAGCGACCAUCCUUCAUCGACACCAACAUCCGCUCGACCUUCAACCAUCUCUAUCCUGGGCGAUUCUCGAUACCACUGACGCCCGCCGGAGUGUGGCUGGAAAUUUUCAGAUCCGGCAGUGAAGUGAAGUGAAGUGUUAAACGACGGAAUUCUCGGAGUAUUGGAGACAAGUUGGGCGUACGAGCACUGGCAAAGGAGAGCAACCUGGGCGAGUGUCAGCAAGUGGGCGGGAGCGUACAACUACAUCGAGCACAGCAAAUCAGCCACAGGUUUUGUUAUCGGGAAUUGUUGAAAUUGAAGCAUACCCUACAAAUCAUGAAUUCUUGGAUUGCAAGUUUUGGUGAGAAAAAGAAUCUUUAAUUGAUGAGAAGAACUCGGACGAGAAAGAUGAUGUUUCUUGGCCAUGGUAGAAGGAACUCGAAAUGUAAUGCUUUGAAUGUGGGUGGGGGGUUAAUUAUCUUCACAAGAGGAUACGUAAGGAGUACACUAGGCAGGUGGAACUAAGAUUUAGACUUUAUAGGUUGACGACGAAAGUGUUGAACAAAGUUUAAUAUUUAUACUUAUUUAACAAAUUUCUUAACAUAAACAUACUUUGAGAAAAAGUUAUUAUAUUCGACCGAUUCUAUUAUCA